GGUCAAAUUAGUAUUCAAAACGUAGCUUCUAAAAAUUAUUUAAAAUAUAUGAAAUUUAUGAAAUACCUCAAGGAUAAAAAGAGGCUUUUUAUGAUUCAGAUUUUAUUUUUAUUAGUACAUGUGUGCAGCGCAUAAUGUUUACUUGCCUUAUGUGGCUCUGGUGUAUCUAACAUAGCACAUUUUAAUUUCUUUUUUCAUUUUCUUUCUCUUUCCUUCCUCCACUCCCUCGCCCCUGAUCUUGGCCUGCUUCCUAUGCCAGAAGUCUGUACCUCCCUACUUUUUAUUAUCUAUCUUUUAUUUUACUCUUUAUUUAUAAUUUGGGGUUUUCCUAUGUCUGAUUAAUUUCCCUUAAUACCAUGGUCUCAUGGUGCAUUCAUUUUCCCACAAAUGACUAAAGUGUAGUCGUGUGAGAAAAGAGCCCAUAAACUCUCCAAAAUGUUAGUUAUGUUGUGUUUCUGAUGUUAAGUAGUAGGUUAAUGGGUGCUUGUUUAAGGAUCAUGCUACCUGAAUCAUAUGAGUACUAAUCAAAAUGGAAAAAACUAAGAGUCACCUAUCUCAGAUACAGCAAAAUGUUUAUUAAAUCUCAUUUUUUUAACUUUAUGGAAAUUAUGUAGUGUCAUAUGCUGAAAUACAUUAAUUAGUUGAGAUAUGAUUAUUAUACCCUAUAGUUUCAUAUAUUUUUAUGAGUUUUCCAGUUCCUGUUUUAUAUAUUGCCAAGUCUGUAAGACUUGUGAAAACUAUUUUUAGAAGCCACAUCUUCUCUAAAUGUUUCUUUCCACUGUCUUCCUAGGUUUCUUUGAUUAGAGCUCAAUAUGAUGACUGAGACUCCCUAGACUGAUGGCUGGCAUACCCCGUAGAUGUUGUAAUAAGUGAUAAUAUGUCCAAACAGGCACGCAGGAGGGAGUCCAGCCUCUUUUGGGAAGUCUCUCCAUUGAGGAUGCAUCCUGCCAACAGUUUAGGACCAAAAGUUAAUGGAGCUUGCUGGAACUUAUGGGUUACCUGGAUGGGUCAGAAGAUGAGGGGGGAGAGUGGAGAAGCAGAAUGGGCAGCAAGAAGCAAGGUGUAUGUAGUGUAUCCGAACUACAAGAAAAGGACAAGACAAAGGAAGUGUGAAGAUUCUGGAGCCCAUUUCUGGGACAAGAGGGUAAGACAGGCAGCUCCCCUGCAGAAGGCCAUGUCUAGAUCUUAAAUAUUUAACUUUGUGCUCACAGCUCUAUAGAGACCAGCAGGUUUUUGCACAUUACCAAGCAUAUUAGCUUUGGAUUUUGAGAAGUGAACACAUAAGGACUGAGAAAAAU
rnacentral:lncRNA from 1 species